rnacentral:misc_RNA from 1 species
GAUGAAGAACGUAGCGAAAUGCGAUACGUAAUGUGAAUUGCAAAUUCAGUGAAUCAUCGAGUCUUUGAACGCACAUUGCGCCCCCUGGUAUUCCGGGGGGCAUGCCUGUCCGAGCGUCAUUGCUGCCCUCAAGCACGGCUUGUGUGUUGGGCCCCGUCCUCCGAUCCCGGGGGACGGGCCCGAAAGGCAGCGGCGGCACCGCGUCCGGUCCUCGAGCGUAUGGGGCUUUGUCACCCGCUCUGUAGGCCCGGCCGGCGCUUGCCGAUCAACCCCAAUUUUUAUCCAGGUUGACCUCGGAUCAGGUAGGGAUACCCGCUGAACUUAAGCAUAUCAAUAAGCGGAGGA